rnacentral:rRNA from 1 species
AGAGUUUGAUCCUGGCUCAGAACGAACGCUGGCGGCAGGCUUAACACAUGCAAGUCGAACGCCCCGCAAGGGGAGUGGCAGACGGGUGAGUAACGCGUGGGAAUCUACCGUGCCCUGCGGAAUAGCUCCGGGAAACUGGAAUUAAUACCGCAUACGCCCUACGGGGGAAAGAUUUAUCGGGGUAUGAUGAGCCCGCGUUGGAUUAGCUAGUUGGUGGGGUAAAGGCCUACCAAGGCGACGAUCCAUAGCUGGUCUGAGAGGAUGAUCAGCCACAUUGGGACUGAGACACGGCCCAAACUCCUACGGGAGGCAGCAGUGGGGAAUAUUGGACAAUGGGCGCAAGCCUGAUCCAGCCAUGCCGCGUGAGUGAUGAAGGCCUUAGGGUUGUAAAGCUCUUUCACCGGAGAAGAUAAGGACGGAUCCGAGAAGA